rnacentral:lncRNA from 1 species
UUGAAUCUCUUGGAUUCUGUCUUGUAUUGUGAUAUCUUAUUUGUUUGAAACUGUCCUUUCUCGUGCUAGAUAUGCUUUGUCAUUUGCCGAGUUGUUUUUAGCUCACUCCAUUGUUAUAUAAAUCUUUCAGGUCAGCUUUUCACUCUUUGAGAUGUUUGAAUUGGGCUGAGGUAGUGGAGAGCUAUUCAUAAUUAUAUAUGUUCUGAAAUGUCCUAUUUGCAAUUGAUAUACUCCGGAACAUCUCGUACGCUAUUGAUAUACUCCAAUUACUCUAUGCUUCAUUUGUUAUGAACCAAAUAUGUUAUGAAUGAAAUGACAUUUGUGAUUCUGUAUCUAAUGAGAUGAUAUCCUUGAAUCUCUUGGAUUCUGUCUUGCAUUGUGAUAUCUUGGUUGUUUGAAACUGUCCUUUCUCGUGCUAGAUAUGCUUUAUCACUUGCCGAGCUGUUUUUAGCUCACUCCGUUGUUAUAUAAAUCUUUCAGGUCAGCUUGUCACUCUUUGAGAUGUUUGAAUUGGGUUGAGGUAGUGGAGAGCUAUUCAGAAUUAUGGGCAAGUCUUGUUGGUUAUUAUGUUAUUGUUGUAUAAGCAUAUUUUGUAUCUAAUGAAAUGUUGUCGAUGAAUCGAAAUGGAUAUACCUUGUAAAAGUGUUAGACGAUCUCUCUUAUUUGGAAUUUCGGAAUGUUAAGUCUAAUUUAUGAUGAUAUGAACUUGUGGUGAAUAGUUAGAGUUCUGAUUGUAUAAUUUAUUUAGCUUGUGGAUUUAUAAAU